AUGAAAUCAGGGGGAGAGAACGGUUUUCGAAUGAGCCGUCGCCGAAGGAGCAAAUGCGAUGCAUGAAUCUCUCAGGCAAAAAGACUUCUGAUGGACG
rnacentral:ncRNA from 2 species